CAGAUUCAUUCUUCUUCUUUUUUUCUUUUUUUGUUUCUUCUUUUCAUCUUCUCUGCUCUCAUCUUUCCCACCGAUUUUGAAGCCUCGAUUUCGUGUCCACGGCCCUGUUAUCUUCCUCAAGCCUCGAUUUUAUCUCUACCGAUGACGCCGAGAUCUAGUUCCGCCAAUACACAAAGCUGUUCAACUUCCCUCUCAUAGUUUCAUUUUUGGAUUUGUCUCUAAGUUCUUCGCAAAGGCAAGACUUGGAUUUGCCUCAAAACUGACUCGAUUGAUGUUUCUCUUUUGCUGAACUUCUCGAUCUCAACAGCCUGAUGAAAAACCUGGUUAUAAAGUUGGUUCAUUUGUCUUAUACUUUCGUUGAAAUGAGACAAGACCUGACUGGUUUUCUUAAGGAGAAGAAAAUGGAGAUGUAUCGGAGAAGUCUGGUUUCAAGCUCGCCGCCAGCAUGAUGAAGAUCAGGUUAUUAAUCGGACUCGGAUUAGGCAUCUCUGCUCUCUUUCUUGUUGGCCUCUUCUUUCUUCCUCGGUCUUUGGAUUCUCAUGGACAUUUGACAGAAGCCGAGGAGCCAGAAGAUAUCUUUCAGGUCGAUAAAGGCAAAGCUUCAUGGAGAGCUAGAGGCUAAGUCCCUUGGUGCUCCUGGAACCUGUGUUGCUGAAUUGGUGUUUAACACUUCCUUGACAGGUUAGAGGCGUGGAUCUUAGAUGGAGUUGGAGUCGAGCAAGAUGGAAGAGAGGAGAUGGAGUUGGUUCAGAAGCUA